rnacentral:rRNA from 3 species
UCAACAUGAGAGUUUGAUCCUGGCUCAGAACGAACGCUGGCGGCAGGCUUAACACAUGCAAGUCGAGCGCCCCGC